UUUUUUCCACAGUUAAAGAUGAUGCGAUUCAAACGAACAGAUUUGUAUACAUUGCCUCUUUUGGUUCUAUGGCGUUCACCUCCUGUGGAAUUUCAAUCCUAACCGUGAACUAUGUCAAGCAGUGUCCAGAAGACUCCAAAUCCUGGCAGAUGGCAGCGAAGAGAAUGGACUGUGACGGAAUUGAACAAGACUGUCAACAAGGAAUAAGAGCAGACAGCCAUCAGUUCGUAUUUCAAUACCAUUGUGUAAUAAAUGUUUGGAGGAAUGCUACACUAGAAGUUUGCGCAUUCAACCGCACACUCCUAGGUUAUUGUGCCGAGUUCAAUAUUCUGGGAUCAGUAAUACAGGAUAACUACUACGCAGAUUGUACGAAGCAUGAUCCGCCAUGUCCAUCAGUUUACAACUCGGCGGAGGCAUAUAAAUAGCACACGGCGGGUGUGACCGGUCAGCAGACGAUGCUCAAUUCUCCUAGGCACCUGAUCCUACCUCAAUCUAUUUGGAGGUCCGUGUUGCGCUGCUUUGAAUUUGUAUUUCGUUUUAUGGAUUUUUGAGAUGGUUCACGAUCAAAGCUGCUACAAAUUGGUUGAGCAAAAUGAAAGAAACACUAAGAUAAUUUCGGCAGCUAAAAGGACAAGUGGAAAUCUUACAACACCUUUUAUCUCCAUCUUUUUCCGAUUCAUCAUUAGAAAAUUGUUACAUAUAUGAACUUUUUAAUGUAAUACUAGAUUUUAAACUCCAUUUUAUUAUAUGAGUUGCAGAAUUCUACGAACGUUUGUUGUCAAUUCUGUAUAUUCUGAUAUUCAUUGAUAAGGCAUCUUGUGUAACAACGGUUUUUUAAAAUCAUAUUUAUGUCUGUAAAUGAUGGUUUUACUGUAUUAAAUGCAAUACAAAUGUCAUAUCAAAUGUUCAUAUGAAAAAAUAAGUUUUUUAAAAACUAUUUAACGCUCUCGUAUUAAUAAUAAAAUGUGACCUCUGUU
rnacentral:misc_RNA from 1 species